ensembl:snoRNA
UCGGCCCGGAAUCAAGGCCAGCAGUCGGCUGCAGCUGUUGGUUUCAAACAGGAGCCUAAAGAAACUGCCUUCCUCUGGUCUGUUGGCCAUUUCAGCCCUUUGCGAAAUGAAACGGUCAAUUCAUUAGGAAGAAACAUCU